rnacentral:rRNA from 1 species
CAUUACAGAGUUCAUGCCCUCACGGGUAGAUCUCCCACCCUUGAAUACUAUACCUUUGUUGCUUUGGCGGGCCGCCUUGGCUACUGGCUCCGGCUGGUAAGUGCCCGCCAAAGGACCCCAAAACUCUGAAUAUUAGUGUCGUCUGAGUACUAUAUAAUAGUUAAAACUUUCAACAACGGAUCUCUUGGUUCUGGCAUCGAUGAAGAACGCAGCGAAAUGCGAUAAGUAAUGUGAAUUGCAGAAUUCAGUGAAUCAUCGAAUCUUUGAACGCACAUUGCGCCCCUUGGUAUUCCGAGGGGCAUGCCCGUUCGAGCGUCAUUAUAACCCCUCAAGCCUAGCUUGGUGUUGGGGCCUGCUGUUACCGGCAGCCCUUAAAAUCAGUGGCGGUGCCAUCUGGCUCUAAGCGUAGUAAUACUUCUCGCUACAGGGUCCUGGUGGAUGCUUGCCAUCAACCCCUAAUUUUCUAUGGUUGACCUCGGAUCGGGUAGGGAUACCC